UACUACUACUUCAUCCUCACUAGGUUAGCGGGGGUUGCUGGAGUCUAUCCCAGCUGCAUCUGUCGAGAGGCAGAUUACACCCUGGACAAAUCGCCAGCCUAUCGCAGGGCUAAAACAUAGCCAAACAACAACACUCACACCUAUUUAGAGUCACCAAUCAGCCUAACGAGCAUGUCUUUGGAGGUGGGAGGAAACCGGAGUACCCGGACAAAACACACGCGGUUAUUAGCUAAUAUCACUAGCUAAAUAAUUUGCUCAUUCGUCUUGUGUUUACCUUGAUCCUGUGUAAACGCCAUAAUAAUGGCGCCCUCUUGUGGAGUAUAUAGUCCCAGUUCGCCAAGCUGUGACGUGUUUGUGGAUGUUCUCAGAAAUGACGGAAGUGAAUGCUAAUGGCAGUGAGUAACCAUCCAGAUCCAACAGCACCGUUCCUGUCUGGAGACACGUCCUGAGCUCAAAAAGACUGUGCAGGGACAGCGUGGACACGUGGGGUUUACUCCACCGCUCCCCUCCUUCCUCCACCUUCUCUUCGAACUUCACCCACCUGAAGGAAGCAAAUCACACAGGGGAAAGACUGCUCAAUACAAACGGUCAUGCUCGUGGUGCCUCUGGUGGCUGUAGCGUCUGUCCCUGUCCAUGUCACUGGCCUCUCGACUGGAACGUCUUCGCCUGCGCUUGCGUCGAUAUCCUCGAGGCACCGGGACACCAAUAU